GAACCGAUAGGUUCAUUUUGCCUUUCCUUUUGAAAAGCAGGAUUUUGAUUUUUCUGUGGCGCCCAAGAGAGAAUGCUGGACUCUGCUACCUUCAGCUCAAGCUAAGAUUUCUCAGUUAGGGAAGAAAGAUCAGUUCAGUCCCGAGAGGGGGAGGGAAGCAAAAGCCCCUGCCUCCAACCCCCUUCCCUCCCCCGGACCAAACUCGGGGGCCAAACCCAGACCUUCCCUAACCAUCUGACUUCCUCCUUUCCUUUUUAGCAUGGUGGCUGUAUGGACAGUCUGACAGAACAGAGAUUGACAUCUCCCAAUCUGCCAGCCCCCCACCUGGAACACUACAGUGUUCUGCAUUGCACCAUGACCCUGGAUGUGCAAACUGUAGUCGUUUUUGCCGUGAUUGUAGUCCUCCUGCUUGUCAAUGUCAUACUCAUGUUUUUCUUGGGAACGCGCUGAAUGGAGUCCAGCCACCUGAGCUGUUGCGAACUCUCACUUUGAUUUCAUCCCAAGAGCCUCUGAGGGGGAAAAAAUCAAGAGAGACAGUCUGAGACAGGGAAAGAGAGGGAGAGAAAGAACAAGCUUUCUUACUCAGGGGGGAAAACGUUUUGAGCUUCAACAUGGCCUCGCUGUGAUAUGUAUGACGUUGCUGAUCACUGGAGAUUCCAUCGUUAGUGCUGAGGCAGUAUGGGAUCACGUCACCAUGGCCAACCGGGAGUUGGCAUUUAAGGCUGGCGACGUCAUCAAAGUCUUGGAUGCUUCCAACAAGGAUUGGUGGUGGGG
rnacentral:lncRNA from 1 species